rnacentral:rRNA from 4 species
AUCAUUACACAAUAACAAGGCGGGCUGGACACCCCCCGCUGGGCACUGCUUCACGGCGUGCGCGGCGGGGCCGGCCCUGCUGAAUUAUUCACCCGUGUCUUUUGCGUACUUCUUGUUUCCUGGGUGGGCUCGCCCGCCCUCAGGACCAACCACAAACCUUUUGCAAUAGCAAUCAGCGUCAGUAACAACGUAAUUAAUUACAACUUUCAACAACGGAUCUCUUGGUUCUGGCAUCGAUGAAGAACGCAGCGAAAUGCGAUACGUAGUGUGAAUUGCAGAAUUCAGUGAAUCAUCGAAUCUUUGAACGCACAUUGCGCCCUUUGGUAUUCCAAAGGGCAUGCCUGUUCGAGCGUCAUUUGUACCCUCAAGCUUUGCUUGGUGUUGGGCGUCUUUUGUCUCCAGUUCGCUGGAGACUCGCCUUAAAGUCAUUGGCAGCCGGCCUACUGGUUUCGGAGCGCAGCACAAGUCGCGCUCUUUGCCAGCCAAGGUCAGCGUCCAGCAAGCCUUUUUUUCAACCUUUGA